ensembl:lncRNA
UCAAGAACGAGAUCAAAACAAGACCACAAGAACCGAUAACAAACGCUUGGUAUACAGAAAACUCACGUAAUACUUCACAAAGUCAUAGGGUUAGAACAGUCUCUUAUAUACAGUGGUUGUGUGUGUGUGUGUGUGUGUGUGUGUGUGUGUGUGUGUGUGUGUGUGUGUGUGUGUGUGUGUGUGUGUGUGUGUGUGUGAUUAGAAUGAGUGUGAGUGUUCUGUAUGUGUGUAUGUGUUGUGUGUGUGUGUGUGUGUGUGUGUGUGAGAGAGAGAGAGAUGGAUUGCAUGCAGGUGUGUGAUUAGAAUGAGUGCGAGUGGUGUGUGUGUG